UGGAAGAGAGUAGGUGAGUUGUGUUUAGUCUCUUUGCUAAAGAAAUGAGUCAAAGUUAAAAAGAUGUUUGGUGUCUAGUACUAUGGCUGUGACCCUAUAUGUCCUGUUGAUGAAGUUAGGUGCUGUUCUGAGCAUUAUUUGUGGCUAUAGAGUGGCGUUUUGGUUGAGGGCGUGGCUCUCUGUAUUGCUAUUCUGCGGUCGUUACUAAAGUUGGUAUAACUA